ensembl:lncRNA B3GALT5-AS1 B3GALT5 antisense RNA 1
GAGUUUCUGUCUGGCCCUCCGGGAGAACCGUCCCAAAGUUAACUUUGAAAACACUCACAGGAGAGGGAAGGCUGUGGGGUCCUUCGCUUCUCAAACCCCAGAUGCCCCCGGAAAGAACACCGCCCCCGACCACCACCACAACCAGAUGUUUUUAAAAAGAGAUGCUAAGCAAAAGGCCUGAUUAUGAGGAAUGAGCCAAAGUCAUGCAAGGCGUGGGGCGCUAUGGGACUGCGCAGUGACGACCCAGUGAAGUAGAUGCCUUGACGAUUCCCAUUUCACGGAUGAGACGACUCCGGCACAGAGAAGUCAGAGGGCCUGUCCUGGGUCACACAGCCACAGGCGGCCCCCAGAACGGGACUUCAGGGUGCACCACUGCACCCCAGCAGAGACCUCCGCCUGGCACACAGGGAAUGCUGGAGCAAUACUUAAAUAGGAGCACACAGCACGCUGCACUGUGGGGACCGCUGUCCUUUGGUCUGCAUGCUGCUCAUCGCAUCUGGGGGAGAGGACCCGAUAUCGUUUGUUUUUACGUCCGCGAACUUCACAUGGUGUUACCAUAGUUCUACAGGACAAGCCAUCAUUUCACAGUUUUCAUGCCUGACCUGCCUCCAGAGCUCUUGAAAACUUUGGAACCAAGAAUAUUUUUAUCAGCCAUCCUCCAGACUCACUCACGGGUUACCUGACCGCACUAAAUCCAAAAUGAGGGUAAAAAUCCCUGCUGCAAAUUCCUCCUGGCUUUGCCAUCUUGGCCAGUCAUUCCACCAAACCGAUUGUGCCUUGCAGAUAAAAGUCGUAAAACUGAAAGGCAAGUGGCAGAUGCAAACUGAUUUCCUAAUUGAUCCCUUGGUUCAACCUGCAUCUACAGGGAAGUUACUGUGUCUGGCACAGUGCUGGACACUGGGAUACAAACAAAGGGUGCAUCCAGGAGGUCCUUAAGAAGAAGCAGUCCCAGACUGUAGAAGCCUCCCAGAAGAAGAAGGGGGAGAAGUGUGUGAAUCAUGACUCUGAAGAGCAUGAAGAAAGAUGUCACCGCAGCUGGGGGAGUCUCCUCCCAGGUUUCCCAGCCCAGCUGCCUCACCUCUGGCCAGCAAGGUCCACUGCACACAGAGGUAACCACUGGAACAAGCAGCUGGAAACCUCAGCUUCUUUCCCUGUAGGCUCCAGGAGCUUCUAAUUCAUGUCUGUUGUCCACAUGCUGAGGCUUCUAUCCAUCCCUCAACCCCUGCUGCACAGGAAACCCUUCCUGCCUCUUCUCUGGCGUUGAGCCCCUGACUCUCCCAUCCAGCUUCCAGCUCAGCCCCACAUAUGUCUCUCUGUGUCUGUGUUUAUCACUGGUGAAUCUUCAGCAUUGGGGCUACCCUAUGCCAGCUCAAGGCCCAGCUGAGCCCGCCUGGCCCCCAACUUGCACCGUGGAGAUGGGGACUUGGUCACAGAGAUUAAAGUAGACACUGGGGGCAGAGAGGCCAGGGAUGGAAGGGAACUUAAAUAAGGCCACAGGGGAGGUCAGAAAUCUCACGGGCUCUGCUGGCUUCUGUGCUUCGUCUCUCAAGGCCAAAAUCAAGAUGUCAUCAGUGCUGAGCUCUGGUGCAGGAUCCACGUCCAGGCUCACUGGGGCUGCUGGCAGAAUUCAGCUGUGUGGGGUUGUAGGAAUGAAGUCCUUGUUUCCUUGCUGGCUGUUGGCCAGGGGCUGCCCUCAGCUUCUGGAGGCCGCCUGCCCUCCCUGGUUCAUGGCCCAUCUCAUCCUGACAGCCAGCACCCGCGGGAAGUCCCUCUUGCACUGUGACUCUCUCCCGCCUCUUCCAUUCUCUAUGGCUUGUCUGCCUCCCUCUUUCAUCUUUAAGAGUGCAUGUGAGUAUAUUGGACCUACCUGAAUCAGCCAGGCUAACCUCCCCAUUUUAAGGUCUGCAGCCUUAAUUCUACCUGCAAAGUCCCUUUUGCCAUGUAAUGUGCCAUAUUCACAGGUGUCAGGAAUCAGAGGGCAGGUAUAUUGGGGGACCAUUAUUCUGCCAACUACACAGGGCCUUAUAUGGUCUGGCUCUGUGUCCCCAUUCAAAUCUCAUCUUGAAUUGUAAUCCGAAUUGUAACCCCCACGUGUUGGGGGGAGGGACCUUGUGGGAGGUAAUUAAAUCAUGGGGGCGGUUACCCUCAUGCUGUUCUUGUGAUAGUGAGUGAGUUCUCACGAGAUCUGAAGGUUUUGCAAGGAGCUUUUCCCCCUUUUGCUCAGGACUCUCCUUCCUGCAGCCAAGUGAAGGACAAGUUUGCUUCCCCUUCCACAAUGAUUGUAAGUUUCUUGAGGCCUCUCCAGAACUAUGAGUCAAUUAAACCUCUUUCCUUUAUAAA